rnacentral:rRNA from 1 species
UACGGAGGGUGCAAACGUUAUCCGGAUUCACUGGGUUUAAAGGGUGCGUAGGAGGGCAGGGAAGUCAGUGGUGAAAUCUCCGGGCUUAACUCGGAAACUGCCGUUGAUACUCUCUGUCUUGAAUCCCGUGGAGGUGAGCGGAAUAUGUCAUGUAGCGGUGAAAUGCUUAGAUAUGACAUAGAACACCAAUUGCGAAGGCAGCUCGCUACACGAAGAUUGACUCUGAGGCACGAAAGCGUGGGGAUCAAACAGG